rnacentral:rRNA from 1 species
AUACGUAGGGGGCGAGCGUUGUCCGGAAUGAUUGGGCGUAAAGGGCGCGUAGGCGGCCCGGUAAGUCUUGAGUGAAAGUCCUGUUUUUAAGAUGGGAAUUGCUUUGGAUACUGUCGGGCUUGAGUGCAGGAGAGGUAAGUGGAAUUCCCAGUGUAGCGGUGAAAUGCGUAGAGAUUGGGAGGAACACCAGUGGCGAAGGCGACUUACUGGACUGUAACUGACGCUGAGGCGCGAAAGUGUGGGGAGCAAACAGGAUUAGAUACCCUGGUAGUCCACACUGUAAACGAUGAAUGCUAGGUGUAGGGGGUAUCGACCCCUUCUGUGCCGCAGUCAACACAAUAAGCAUUCCGCCUGGGGAGUACGGCCGCAAGGUUGAAACUCAAAUGAAUUGACGGGG